rnacentral:rRNA from 1 species
AGGCGUAGGCGAUGGACAACAGGUUGAUAUUCCUGUACCACCUCUUUAUCGUUUGAGCAAUGGAGGGACGCAGAAGGAUAGAAGAAGCGUGCGAUUGGUUGUGCACGUCCAAGCAGUUAGGCUGAUAAGUAGGCAAAUCCGCUUAUCGUGAAGGCUGAGCUGUGAUGGGGAAGCUCCUUAUGGAGCGAAGUCUUUGAUUCCCCGCUGCCAAGAAAAGCUUCUAGCGAGAUAAAAGGUGCCUGUACCGCAAACCGACACAGGUAGGCGAGGAGAGAAUCCUAAGGUGUGCGAGAGAACUCUGGUUAAGGAACUCGGCAAAAUGACCCCGUAACUUCGGGAGAAGGGGUGCUUUCUUAACGGAAAGCCGCAGUGAAUAGGCCCAAGCGACUGUUUAGCAAAAACACAGGUCUCUGCGAAGCCGUAAGGCGAAGUAUAGGGGCUGACACCUGCCCGGUGCUGGAAGGUUAAGGAGAGGGGUUAGCGUAAGCGAAGCUCUGAACUGAAGCCCCAGUAAACGGCGGCCGUAACUAUAACGGUCCUAAGGUAGCGAAAUUCCUUGUCGGGUAAGUUCCGACCCGCACGAAAGGUGUAACGAUUUGGGCACUGUCUCAACCAGAGACUCGGUGAAAUUAUAGUACCUGUGAAGAUGCAGGUUACCCGCGACAGGACGGAAAGACCCCGUGGAGCUUUACUGUAGCCUGAUAUUGAAUUUUGGUACAGUUUGUACAGGAUAGGCGGGAGCCAUUGAAACCGGAGCGCUAGCUUCGGUGGAGGCGCUGGUGGGAUACCGCCCUGACUGUAUUGAAAUUCUAACCUACGGGUCUUAUCGACCCGGGAGACAGUGUCAGGUGGGCAGUUUGACUGGGGCGGUCGCCUCCUAAAGUGUAACGGAGGCGCCCAAAGGUUCCCUCAGAAUGGUUGGAAAUCAUUCGUAGAGUGCAAAGGCAUAAGGGAGCUUGACUGCGAGACCUACAAGUCGAGCAGGGACGAAAGUCGGGCUUAGUGAUCCGGUGGUUCCGCAUGGAAGGGCCAUCGCUCAACGGAUAAAAGCUACCCCGGGGAUAACAGGCUUAUCUCCCCCAAGAGUCCACAUCGACGGGGAGGUUUGGCACCUCGAUGUCGGCUCAUCGCAUCCUGGGGCUGUAGUCGGUCCCAAGGGUUGGGCUGUUCGCCCAUUAAAGCGGUACGCGAGCUGGGUUCAGAACGUCGUGAGACAGUUCGGUCCCUAUCCGUCGUGGGCGUAGGAAAUUUGAGAGGAGCUGUCCUUAGUACGAGAGGACCGGGAUGGACGCACCGCUGGUGUACCAGUUGUUCUGCCAAGGGCAUAGCUGGGUAGCUAUGUGCGGAAGGGAUAAGUGCUGAAAGCAUCUAAGCAUGAAGCCCCCCUCAAGAUGAGAUUUCCCAUAGCGUAAGCUAGUAAGAUCCCUGAAAGAUGAUCAGGUUGAUAGGUUCGAGGUGGAAGCAUGGUGACAUGUGGAGCUGACGAAUACUAAUAGAUCGAGGACUUAACCAUAUAA